rnacentral:rRNA from 1 species
ACAUGCUUACAACAUAGCUUUAAUGCAUUGGAUCCUAUUAGAACUCUGUAGUUAAGCAUGCUCGGGCUAGAGUAGUAUUGGGAUGGGUGACCACCUGAAAAGUCCUAGUAUUUUUACAUGCC